UCUUUCGACACCGACGAAGGCCCUCACGUGUGGGGGUGGACGGUAGGUGUAGAAGAAGCACCGGCUAACUACGUGCCAGCAGCCGCGGUAAUACGUAGGGUGCGAGCGUUGUCCGGAUUUAUUGGGCGUAAAGAGCUCGUAGGCGGUUUGUCGCGUCGGCCGUGGAAACCUACCGCUUAACGGUGGGCGUGCGGUCGAUACGGGCAGACUUGAGUUCGGUAGGGGAGACUGGAAUUCCUGGUGUAGCGGUGAAAUGCGCAGAUAUCAGGAGGAACACCGGUGGCGAAGGCGGGUCUCUGGGCCGAUACUGACGCUGAGGAGCGAAAGCGUGGGGAGCGAACAGGAUUAGAUACCCUGGUAGUCCACGCCGUAAACGUUGGGCGCUAGGUGUGGGGACCAUUCCACGGUUUCUGUGCCGCAGUAACGCAUUAAGCGCCCCGCCUGGGGAGUACGGCCGCAAGGCUA
rnacentral:rRNA from 1 species